rnacentral:lncRNA from 12 species
CUUAGGAGACUACACAAAUGUUUGUGCUGGGAGGACACUGUGGGAACCGGGAUUGGAGGUGGAGUAGGAAUGGCUUCAUCUGGCAAAACCUUCAUUGCUGCCAAAGCCUCAGUCCCAGGAAGUGCUGUGAAGGCAAAGGCAAAGCUGAUCAAGUGGCCAGGUUCCUGGCCUCAUGCAAAAUGCAGAGGGAGCAAAAGAGAAGGCAGCCCCACUCUAGCUGCAGUAAUGCAGAUAUCAAAGGAAGUGCUGAAGUCCAUGGUUCCCAUCCAUCUGGCAUGUCCCCUCAGUAUUCUAACUCUGUCAGCCCCUACUAUUUUCCAAUGAGAUAAUAUUCAAAAAGACCACCAAAUACAGCACAAGGAGAUCCAAGGCCAAAAAAGGAGCACUGUGUCCAGGGCUCACGAGAUAAUAUUCAAAAAGACCACCAAAUAUUGCACAAGGAGAUCCAAGGCCAAAAAAGGAGCAUGAGAUAAUAUUCAAAAAGACCACCAAAUACAGCACAAGGAGAUCCAAGGCCAAAAAAGGAGCACUGUGUCCAGGGCUCAAAGCAAUGUACUGUGCUUUUUCAGCAGCCUGCAUAAUAUCAAAUUUAAAAACCACAUGAAAUUCUUUUUAGUAUGCAUAAAAGUAAAAACAGGACACCUAAUGCUAAAGUGUAAAUAUAAUGUGUUCUGUAUUAUUUUGCUGUAUGGUUUGCUGCCUCAUGUGGCUCAG